rnacentral:pre_miRNA from 1 species
GCUCCUACAAGAGUGAAGUGCAGGGGCUUUGGGAUAGUGAGGAAAAUAAAGCCCAUACACUUUGACCCUUUAGGAGAG